rnacentral:lncRNA from 1 species
UGUUUUUUUUUUUUUUUUUCCUUUUACAUGAAAAUUGAAAAGUGUUCAUGGCUUUAGCAACAGGCUUUUGGAGGGUUUUGUGUGAGGCUUUUCAUAUGAUAAUUGGUAGAUUCUAUGGCAACCAUUGAAAAAGAAGCCCUGAAAACAAAAGCUGCAGCAGAAGAGGAUCAGUACAUAUUCACUAUGUCUGCGGGAAUAACGGCAGAGACUCACUCUUCAGAAAGAUCAGGAUGCUUUCCAGAAAAGCCAAAGGCACUACAGAGAGGCAAAACUAGAGUAUGAGAGAAGAGAAUCAAGAGUGCCUGAUCCAAAUCCUACUGCAUUAGUGGUAAAUUUCUCCUUGACCACAGGGAAUUUUGGAUGAGAUCCCAUGCUCUGAUUUUGGCAGUCAGCUUGGCUACCACAUCACAGUCCACUUCAGCUUGAAACAAGCAAGACCUAAACCAGAGAAAAAAGUAGGUUAAAAAUAAAAACAGUAUUAGAUCUAUGAGGACCUUGCCA